AUUGAACGCUGGCGGCAGGCCUAACACAUGCAAGUCGAACGAGUGGCGGACGGGUGAGCAAUGUCUGGGCAACUGCCCGAUGGAGGGGGAUAACUACUGGAAACGGUAGCUAAAACCGCAAACCAUGGGUUGUGCCCAGAUGGGAUUAGCUAGUAGGUGGGGUAAUGGCUCACCAAGGCGACGAGCCCUAGCUGGUCUGAGAGGAUGACCAGCCACACUGGAACUGAGACACGGCCCAGACUCCUACGGGAGGCAGCAGUGGGGAAUAUUGCACAAUGGGCGCAAGCCUGAUGCAGCAAUGCCGCGUGUAUGAAGAAGGCCUUCGGGUUGUAAAGCUCUUUCAGCGGGGAGGCGUUACUCGAAGAAGAAGUACCGGCUAACUCCGUGCCAGCAGCCGCGGUAAUAC
rnacentral:rRNA from 1 species